rnacentral:lncRNA from 1 species
UAUAUCAAACGACUAGUACUUGAUCGUAGGAGGAAAUGGAUGUAGAAUAACUGUAAUUUACAAGAAUAAAGCUCAUCUCAACACAGCUGAUACGAUUAGAAGACACAGGCACAUACCCUAUAUACGUAUAGGGUCUGUGGCAGAGGUAACGAACACAGAAUUAUUACGUUUUAUUAUAUAAGUUAAGCCUAUAUCCUUUCUGAAGUAGGCCUAGACAAAUAGUUCCACAAGCCACGUUAUUUUAUACUGUACCUACAUUGGCAUAGCCUUCAGAUGUGAAAGUGGAUAUCAUUUGACCAUAAGUGGCCCGCUUCCGUUUCGGACAGCGUGAUUUAAUAAUACUGUACGGUAAUUUCGGCGGACACAAGUUGUACUGGUCUAUGUAUGGUUGUAUUAUAGGUCUACUUUUAUACUGCAUUACACUGAAGAAACGAGACAUGUUUUCCUGUUUAGGAUAGGCCUACAGGGGCAGAUCGUUUAAAUUGGACCAGCAUACGGUAGUGGAUCACGGUCAUCGGAACGUCAAGGGUCGACUUUGGUCUGAGAGGCACUUCAAACACGGAAAUAUUUUGUCAAGGAAAGGUUUAAAUAGUAAUUUGCCACUCAGAAAGGCACGGUCCGUGCCUAGGCCUAAUAAAAUUGACAGCUUAUACCAAUUGUUUGUAAAUGAUGGGUAAACUAUACUUAAAUUUGAACAAGUACGAUGGACGAAAUAGCUCCGCAAUUGACGCCAACGACAGAGCGAUCAUGCUGCUGCCGUGUCCUGACGAGAACAAACGUACAAUGAACGGUUCGUCAAGAAAACGUGACGCGUGCGUGGUGAUGCUGAGUGUGCUGGCUUUCCUGGUCGUGUUUGCCUCAUCUGUGGCUUUAGUUAACAUCGGAUUUAAGUUUUUGUUUGGCCUCUUGGGUUAAGGUGAAACUGUUAUCUAGGUCUGUCGAGAAAGAAUAUCGAUGCAGUCAGACGCUUGCAAUGCUACAUUGGUUUUUUUUUUUUUUUUUUUAUAGAAAAGUUACUCCAACAUUUGCAACGGCCAAUCGCAACCAGGCUAGCUGAAGAAUGUCUACGAAGAAGUAUGAGAGAAAUAUUGUCGAGCAAAAACUUAAACAGAAAUAAAAGCAGGUUGAAGCAAAAUAAAAUAAACUAACCGAUUCAGACAUAGCAUAUUACCUAUCAAUGAAUAAAUACAUUCAAUGCAUUAUUGUCUAUCAAUAAUGCAUUCAAAAUUUCACACGUGAGUACAUUUAAAAAACCUACAUCAACACAGGAAGACUAAUAAAGCACUUUCAUAUGAUCCGCAUCUACUAGAAAAACAGCAUCUGUAUUUUCUGUGAUAUAGCUUUCCAAGAAAUAACUCCAACAUUAUACUUAACAAACAAGGUAUUCUAGAAUUUACUGAUGAUCUCAUAACACCAAUAUCCUGCCAGGCCAGUAUUAUGAGCAACUAAAACAUGUAUCCUGGGGCGGACGCAGCAGACGGUACGGUCGCACCCCCUGAAGUGUUUUAAAGAAAAAAAAUUUAAUAUACUUUAUUGUUGAUAUAAGCUUAUUAUUUUUAUCAUUAUGAACAUAUAUUAUCGGUAAGAUUUUUAAAGUAUGAGAGUGCAAUUUCCGGGCAUCUAGAGGUCCAUAUUCUCAAAAUUGUCUCGCCUCAGCCCCAGUCAUGGUGGGGCUGAGGUGAUGUGGACUCUCACGCACCCCCCUUACCUCCAAAUCUUGCAUCCGCCCCAGGUAUCAACUGGCACAAUGGCUGGCGCGAAUAAAACCAGUAGCGAGCAUUGUCAUAGCCUUUGAAAGUUUUUAAAGAAAUAUGCACUACUAUAUUAUAAUGUUAAGCCUAUUUAUAUGUUUCUUUUAUAAAUUUUAUUUCAUCUCAUCCAAAAAUAGGAUAACACUAUAUAAAUACCACGAACAAAACAUCUGGUCAGAUAUUUUUUUUUAAUGCAAUGGCUAAAUAAUAUUAAAAGAAGUCUCUAUAAUUCAGGGGCGGAUCCAGAAUUUUUCAACCGGGGGAGGGGAGCACAACAUAUUUAGAAUAGAUAAGUGAGAGCGCUAAUUUCAAUAUGUGCCUUGAAAUUUUAAAAUUUAGUGGCAAAAUGGGGAGGGGUGGGGCACGUUCCCCCUACUGGAUCAGCCCCUGUAAUUGUAAUUUAUUAGAUAAUUUCAUUCUUAACUUAUCAUAUAUACACUGACAGGAAUUUAAACAAAUAUAGGCCUAUAUGAUAAAUCAAACUGGUUUGAUCGUGCUCAAACGAAGCCAUCACUGAAUGACUACAUUAGAUACAAAUAUGAACCAAGUUUUGAGUCGUACCUCUUAGACAAAUGUAACGUUUCAGAAGCGACUUUUAAGUUUAAAGCUCGAUCAAGCUCACUUGAUUUAGAAGGUCGCAAAGAAGCCUGGUCAAAUUUAAACACAGGCCUCUGUAAAUUGACUGUAAAGAAACGUGGAUCACUUUGUUUUUGAAUGCUGCAAAUUUAAUAAUAUUAGAGAUGGAAUUUUCUAGGAACAUAAAAAUGAACCUAAUAAAUACAACCUUGAUAUAUUUUAGGAUAUGUUUACCUUAAGUUUAUCAAAUUUUAGGCAUCAUCUUUUCUUUGAUGACCUGUCAUCCAUAACGAAUUUCCACGUAUUAAAUACGAUUUGCUUGAAUCUGAUUAUAAUGAUGUUGCAUUUUUGACAAAUAUAGUUAAAAAUAUCUUUAUGUCGCAUGAGGCGAGUACAAGACGAAACAAAGAAAGCAAACACCGGAUUGGAUGGAAAUUGUCAUUUUAUUCAAUGACGAAAAACAAUUUAAUAUAUAGUUUAUUCAAAAUAUGUAAUGGGGCAGCCACCCAUUGAUGUCUCUAUAAGCAUAUGCCCUCCCACGACAUAAAUUCAUUUUUCUUCAUUUUUACGAAAAAUUUGUUUUAUAUCGCUUGGAUGAGGCGCAAUAAACUAUACAAGAACCUGUAACGUUAUCUUAUAGAACACCCGCCGGACUGAUGUUGAAUCUGUCCUGGCCUGUUUAUGUGAGCGCAAUCAAAUUUGACGUUCUGGUAAUUUGAAAUGUUUACUGUAUCCAUGUUUUUGUGUAGCUCGGUGUGUUUUAUUUCAUUUUUUUUUUAAUUUAUUGCAAAUAAGAAUUUUCUAUUGCGCACCACACAUGCGUCAAGCUUUUUAAAAGAUAUUGUUGUUAUUAUUGUUAAUUUAUUAUUGAGAUAUGCAAAAACGGUAAAACAUUAUAAUAAUUUACUUAAAAUAUUAUGUUGUUUUACUACUCAUUUUUUAGUUUAAGAUUUAGUAUAAGUUGUUUUUUGAAUAAUGUUUGCUUUCCUUUUUAUAUUUUAUAUUUAUAUUGUUCUUGGGUGCACCAUCAAAGUGAUGGGUGCAGCUGAUUUGAAAAUGAACCCAAUAAAUUGUAAAUCGUAUCGUAACCAAGAAAUUAGAAUAACCUAA